rnacentral:rRNA from 1 species
UACGAGGGGGGCAAGCGUUGUUCGGACUUAUUGGGCGUAAAGGGUGCGUAGGCGGUUUUGUAAGUCUUGUGUGAAAUCUUCAGGCUCAACUUGAAGACUGCACGAGAAACUGCAGGGCUUGAGUGUGGGAGAGGUGAGUGGAAUUGCCGGUGUAGCAGUGAAAUGCGUAGAGAUCGGCAGGAACACCAGUGGCGAAGGCGACUGCCUGGGGAGUAACUGACGCUGAGGCGCGAAAGCUGGGGGAGCAAACGGG